UACAGAGGUCUCAAGCGUUGUUCGGAUUCAUUGGGCGUAAAGGGUGUGUAGGUGGCGCGCUAAGUCGGGUGUGAAAUUUCGGAGCUUAACUCCGAAACUGCAUUCGAUACUGGCGUGCUUGAGGACUGGAGAGGAGACUGGAAUUCAUGGUGUAGCAGUGAAAUGCGUAGAGAUCAUGUGGAAGACCAGUGGCGAAGGCGGGUCUCUGGACAGUUCCUGACACUGAGACACGAAGGCCAGGGGAGCAAACGGG
rnacentral:rRNA from 1 species